UGUUGGUUAUCGUGGAAGGAAAUGAGGCUGGAUGUACGCGUGUUAGCCAUCUGGGAGGGGAAGCAAGUGUUGGGGAUGGUGCAAGCAUGUUCUUCUCUCUCUCAGAUCUCUCGAGCUCUCUCAAAUGUUUCAAUAACUUUUCCAUUUGCUUCCCUUUUAUCUCAACCUGAAACCAACAAAUCCCAAAAACCCUCGAGCCCUCCAACAAAAUCGGAAAAAAACACCAUCUUCGCCCAAAAUUUUGAAUUUUCUCAAGAAUUCUCGCAUUUUCCUGAGAUUUUUUUCUAUGGGCUUUGGUAGCAGAUGAAGAUCGAUGACAGUGAUCGGAGUUCGUCACAUGACAUUGUGCUCGGCAACGAACAAUUUGAUCACAUCCUGAGUUUUCCGACUAAUUUAUUCAAUUGGAUCGGUUCUGAUUUUGUCCCUCCAUAGCAUCUGCAGCACUAUCUGCCUUGCUUUCGUCACAGCUUGGCUUUCGGUUCCUCAGGGGGAAUGGUGGAUGUGAGAGUUUCUUUUACAGCAGUUCAAAGGGAGAGCUUGAGAGAUAGUGGACUCUUCCCCUAUUCCUCCACAAUCGCUUUUACCAAUUUCCAAGAACACAUUAAAUUCCCUCAAAAUAUAAGCCGAGGUAUGGAAAAGCUUCGAAUUCCUUGGUUUCCUCCAAUUAGUAUGCAGAACUCUCAAAAAAGAAAGUAGUGAGGGUUGAAUUUCUACUCUCAUAUAUACACAGAUAGAUAUGGAAAAGCUUAGAAUGGUGAAGUGAGGGUUCAAUGACUUAUUACUCAUUUUGGUCUAUUUAAAUAAAGUUCUCUGAUUGGUUUGAUUUGUGUUGUGUACAUUUACUUCUUGGGUAUAUUUGUGUUUUUGGACUUAUUUGUUUCUGUAUCGGUUGCUGACAUAAUGGAUAGGGUGCCAAAAAGAGAGGUGGCAUUAGGAAUAAUGGCUUUUUUGAGAGAAUUAGAGUUUGAUCUCUUCAUUUGGGUUGUGCAUAUUUCGUUUGAUCUCUUACUUUGGGUUGUGCAUAUUUCAUUUGAAUUAAUUUGGGUUGUGAGGAAGUGAAUAAUUAUUUGAAUUAAUUAAUUAAUUUCUCUUGGGUUGUGCAUAUUUCCUUUGAACUAAUUUGGGUUGUGUUUAAGCAUUGUACAUGCAUGAACGUGGGUAAAGAGUAUGAGGAUAAAGGGAAGAGAAAAUGUUGUGAUCAUCCACCUCAAACGAUUUGUUGAGAACUUGGAAUCAGCUUUUCACAUAACAUGGAUGAUGAAUAUAAGAAACUCAUACACAUAAUUACUCCACCAAGAUUUAUGCUACCUGGCAAUCAACGACUAAUAUUACUUUCAAGAAGGCAAGACCAACAUAUGACAUGUCACAUCGGCAUAUUUUUCACAAACAGAUGAAUUUCACAAGUCGAAUUACCACCUUAAUAAUAGGAAAAAAAUACAUUUGAUCUCCGGUUAUAAGGUGACCUCACCUCUCUCUCUCUCUCUCUCUCUCUCUCUCCCUCCCUAAACUCAAUUUUGAACUUUUUAUGCAUAUUUUUUUUUGAAUCAUUGGCUGUCUUUAUUAUUUUUGUGGUUGUAUUCACAAUUGUCCAAGAGAGUACAACAAAAGGUCAAUUUUUCCAUUGGAAGCACCUCAAGUUAGGAACAAGUCUGUUAUCCAAUUACAUUCAUGGCAUAUAACACUUGAAAGGUCAAUUUUCCAUUGGAAGCACCUCAAGCUAGGAACAAGUCUGUUAUCCAAUUACAUUCAUGGCAUAUAACACUUGAAAAAGCUAAUGAUGUAUUUCAACAUUGUUUAGCAUGUAGCAAGCUUUGUUUGACUGAUAUACUCAAUACUGCAUUUGUAAUUUUAUCAUUGGUCCAACUUUUUGAAUAAACAAUUUCUCUUUCUUUGCA